AAAAAUAUUUGCUUCUUAUUGAUUAGCUUUUUUUUUUUUUAACACAAAACAGAGAUGUUCACUGUGACCUCAAGUGGAUUCUUCUCCACCAAUCCAAAAUUUUAUCCCAGGAGACACCAGCAAUCAUUUGCAGGAGAUAUUGAUCAACCAGAGAAUGCACAUUUCUGAACCAGAUCCCUGGUGAGGUUGAUGGGACAGUAGCAGGAAGCUUGUUUUGUGGAUUUGGAAAUGAAAACCCAAGAGGUGAGUGACUUGGGAACACUGAACAUGAUUUCCCCUCUCAGAGAUGAGACCAGGACUAAUGUCUGCCAGCCGAUU
rnacentral:lncRNA from 1 species